rnacentral:rRNA from 1 species
UACGAAGGGGGCUAGCGUUGUUCGGAAUUACUGGGCGUAAAGCGUGCGCAGGCGGCUUCUCAAGUCAGGGGUGAAAGCCCAGAGCUCAACUCUGGAAUUGCCUUUGAGACUGAGUGGCUUGAGUGCGAGAGAGGUGAGUGGAAUUCCCAGUGUAGAGGUGAAAUUCGUAGAUAUUGGGAAGAACACCGGUGGCGAAGGCGGCUCACUGGCUCAUUUCUGACGCUCAGGCGCGACAGCGUGGGGAUCAAACAGG